AUGGGCCCCGCCACGCAGCAGCGCCACCGGACGCGGCCCAGGGUUCCGGCGGCCGACAAAGACGACGGCGGCGUCAGGUGCGAGGCGUGCGGGUCCGGCCGCCACGCGGACGAGCUGCUGCUCUGCGACGGCUGCGACCGCGGCCUCCACAUCUUCUGCCUCCGCCCCAUCCUCCCGCGCGUGCCCGCCGGCGACUGGUUCUGCCCCUCCUGCGCCGCCGCCGCCACCACCUCGUCGUCGGCCAAAUCCGCCGCCGUCGUCCAGACCAAGAUGCCCAAACAGUUCCCGCUGAUCCAGACGAAGAUCGUCGAUUUCUUCAAGAUCCAGCGCCGCCCGGCGGCCGUGGCCGCCGAUCCGCCGGAGGGGAAGAAGAGGAAGCGGAAGGCCGCCACCGCGCUGGUGGUGUCCAAGAAGAAGAGCCGGAAGCUGCUGCCCUUCACCCCCAGCGAGGACCCCGUCCGGCGCCUCACGCAGAUGGCCUCGCUCGCCACCGCGCUCACGGCCACCGGCGCCGUCUUCAGCAACGACCUCACCUACGUGCCCGGCAUGGCGCCCCGCUCCGCCAACCAGUCCGCCCUCGAGGCGGGAGGGAUGCAGGUGCUGCCGAGGGAGGAUGCAGAGACCUUGAGCCUGUGCAAGAGGAUGAUGGAGCAAGGGGAAUGGCCCCCUCUCCUCGUCGUCUUCGAUCCAGUGGAAGGAUUCACGGUCGAGGCAGACAGGCACAUCAAGGACCUGACCAUCAUCACCGAGUACGUCGGCGACGUGGACUACCUUACAAACCGCGAGCACGACGACGGCGACAGCAUGAUGACCCUGCUCUCCGCCGCGCCCCCAUCCAAGAGCCUGGUCAUCUGCCCCGACAAGCGGAGCAACAUUGCGCGGUUCAUCAACGGGAUCAACAACCACACGCCGGAAGGCAGGAAGAAGCAGAACCUCAAGUGCGUGCGGUUCGCCAUCGACGGCGAGUGCCACUGUCUCCUGGUGGCCAACAGGGACAUCUCCAAGGGGGAGAGGCUGUACUACGACUACAACGGUGACGAGCACGAGUACCCAACUCACCAUUUUGUAUGA
rnacentral:rRNA from 1 species